GAUGAACGCUAGCGGCAGGCCUAAUACAUGCAAGUCGAACGGUAGAUCGGGUAGCAAUACUUGAUUGAGAGUGACGUAAGGGUGCGUAACACGUAUGCAAUCUACCCUCAACAGGAGUAUAGCUCGGGGAAACUCGGAUUAACACUCCAUAACAUUACGAUGUGGCAUCACAUUGUGAUUAAAACUCCGGUGGUUGAGGAUGAGCAUGCGUCUGAUUAGUUAGUUGGAGGUGUAACGGACCCCCAAGACGAUGAUCAGUAGGGGAACUGAGAGGUUGAUCCCCCACACUGGCACUGAGAUACGGGCCAGACUCCUACGGGAGGCAGCAGUAGGGAAUAUUGGUCAAUGGGUGAGAGCCUGAACCAGCCAUGCCGCGUGCAGGAAGACGGCCUUCUGGGUUGUAAACUGCUUUUAUCUGGGGAUAAAAAGCCCAUGCGUGGGACAUUGAAGGUACCAGAUGAAUAAGCACCGGCUAAC
rnacentral:rRNA from 1 species